UCUUUAAAGUAUUGAUGAUUCCUAAAAAGAAAAAUCACUAAAUAGAACAUUCCUCCUGUGGUUUUGAGUUUUUCUGAAAUCUGUACAGUAAGAGCCUUUGGAUUUCCAAUCUCACAGUAUGUGUAUCUCACAGAUGGCCAAGGCAGAUUCCUACCAGGAGCAGAUUAGCAGAGAUAACCUGGAGAAUCUUUCCACAUGGAACUGUCAGGAGGACUGUCUUGGACAUCAUGAGCAAAUAUCAAGAGAUCUGAAGUAUCAAGAGACUAUUUGGAUGUCAGAGUUUAAUGUGAAAUCUCAUGAAAAAUAUGGGCCAGGAGGUGUGUCAGAUCCAUAUCUGAGACUGAAUUUGACUUCAGGUCACUUGUUUUACAACUCUAGUAAGUAAGAAAGUGCUCUCAGAACUGGUACAGCCCAGAUGUCCUGUUCCCUUUUCAACCUUUGUCCCAGAGAGAUAUAGAACUUGUCAACUUUUCGUUCCCCUAAAAAUCACCUCAUAUUAGAUCAUUAGUGGACAAUGUAUUUUUCACUAAAGAUUUUGAAGAAUAGAGGAAGAAAAUGGUUAUGUAUAUGUUCAUCCCUCAUUAAAAAAGAAAGUAUAUUUAAAAUUCUCGAUUAUAUUUUUCUUUUCUCUAGUCUUCUCUACACGGCUACUCUGGAGAUGGAAGCAUGCUUCAUACCAUGUCAGAGCUCCUAAGCUUCCCUCCCCGAUUCUCUUAGUGUACUUCAGAUUCCACUUCCCUUUAAGCUGAACAAUCCAGCUUCAUUUCACAGCUAAACAUUCUGGGUGUUGUGUGGUGGUGCUGAUGCUGCUGAGGGUGUGUAAGUAACUCUUGAGUUAUGUUUAAAACUGGGUAUAAAUGCCAGUAUCUAAAUGUUGGACACUUAAAGUC
rnacentral:lncRNA from 1 species